UUAAUUUGACUCAACACGGGGAACCUCACCCGGCCCGGACACGGAAAGGAUUGACAGACUGAUGUCUCUUUCUCGAUUCUGUGGGUGGUGGUGCAUGGCCGUUCUUAGUUAGAGGAGUGAUUUGUCUGGUUAAUUCCGAUAACAAAGUAUGUAGAGAAACAGAUACAGGACUACAUUCUAUAAUUAUAAAACUACAAAGAGCUCCUAUAUGAUCUUUGGCAUUGAUUAGAUGGACAGUGAGUGAAAGAUUUCCUGUAAUUAUAGGACCAGUCCUGUAAAAUUACUUAUUACUCUGUUUU
rnacentral:ncRNA from 1 species